CCUACGGGAGGCAGCAGUAGGGAAUCUUCCACAAUGGGCGAAAGCCUGAUGGAGCAACGCCGCGUGGGUGAAGAAGGUCUUCGGAUCGUAAAACCCUGUUGUUAGAGAAGAAAGUGCGUCAGAGUAACUGUUCACGUUUCGACGGUAACUAACCAGCAAGCCACGGCUAACUACGUGCCAGCAGCCGCUGUAAUACGUAGGUGGCAAGCGUUAUCCGGAUUUAUUGGGCGUAAAUGGAACGCAGGCCGUCUCUUAAGUCUGAUGUGAAAGCCUUCGGCUUAACCGGAUUAGUGCAGUGGAAACGGGGAGACUUGAGUGCAGGAGAGGAGAGUGGAAGUCCAAGGGUAGCGGUGAAAUGCGUAGAUAGAUGGAGGAACACCAGUGGCGAAGGCGG
rnacentral:rRNA from 1 species